GCACAAGUGGUGAAAUUGGUAUACACGCUACUUUGAGGGGGUAGUGCCUAAUUUUUUGGGCGUGGGGGUUCGAGUCCCCCCUUGUGCA
rnacentral:tRNA from 1 species